rnacentral:rRNA from 1 species
ACGCCUAACACAUGCAAGUCGAACGAAGUAGCAAUACUUAGUGGCAGACGGGUGAGUAACAUGUGGGUAUCUGCCCUUUGGCCUGGAAUAACACGAGGAAACUUGUGCUAAUACCAGAUAAGUCUUUACGGAGAAAGCUUUAUGCACCAUUGGAUGAGCCCGCACUUGAUUAGUUUGUUGGUGGGGUAAUGGCCUACCAAGACUAUGAUCAAUAGCUGAUUUGAGAGGAUGAUCAGCCACAUUGGGACUGAGACACGGCCCAAACUCCUACGGGAGGCAGCAGUGGGGAAUCUUGCACAAUGGAGGAAACUCUGAUGCAGCGAUGCCGCGUGAGUGAAGAAGGCCUUUGGGUUGUAAAGCUCUUUCGUCGGGGAAGAAAAUGACUGUACCCGAAUAAGAAGGUCCGGC